AUGUGCUUGCCAUGCAGUCCUCAAACAUUUGGUUUGGAAGGAGUGGACUGGGGAAGCAACAUCCCUCCUACUGUAAACAAAGAUCAAGUUUGUGACCACCUGAAGAACCUGAACACCCACAAGUUUAUGGGUCCUGAUGAGAUGCAUCGCAGAGACCUAAGGGAAUUAGCUGAUGUAGUCGCCGAGCUACUCUUGAUGAUAUUUGAAAAGUCGUGGCAAUUAGGUGAAGUCCCUGGUGACUGGAAAAAAGGUAACAUUGCACCCUUCUUAAAAAAGGGUAAAAAGGAUGACCCUGGGAACUACCUACCUGUCAGUCUCACCUUUGUGCCAGGGAAGAUCACGGAACAGACCUUCCUGGAAGCUAUGCCAAAGCACAUGAAAGGCAGGGAGCUGAUAUGGGAGAACCAGCAUAGUUUCACCAAGGGCAAAUCCUGCUUGAUCAACUUGGUGGCCUUUUGUGAUGAUGUCACUGCAUCUAUGGACAAGGGAAGAGCCACUGAUGUCAUCUAUCUUGACUUCAGUAAGGCCUUUGACAUAGUGCCUCAUAACAUCCUUCUCUCCAAAUUGGAAAGGUACAGAUUUGAUGGGGGACUGUUAAUAGACAAAGAACUAGCUGUAGGAUCAAGUCCAGAGAGUGGUGGUAAAUGGCUCAAUGUCUGGCUGGAGACUGGUGAUGAAUGGUGUCCCCUGGGGUCAGUGUGGGGGCUGAUACUCUCUAAGAUUUUCAUCAAUGACAUUGACAGUGGAGUCGAGUGCACCCUCAGCAAAUUUGCUGAUGACACCAAGCUGUGGGGUGUGGUUGAUGCACCAGAGGGAUGGGAUGCCAGGCUUGAGCAGUGGGCCCAGGUGAACCUCAUGAGCUUCAACAAAUCCAAAUGCAAGAUCUUGCACCUGAGUUCAGGCAACCCCUAUUACCAAUACAAGCUGUGGGAUGGAAGGAUGGGCAGCAGCCCUGCUGAAAAAGACCUGGGGGUACUGGUGCAUAGGAAGCUGGAUGUGAGUCAGCAAUGUGCUGUAGCAGCCCGGGCUGCAUCAAAAGAAGCGUGGCCAGCAGGGUGA
rnacentral:lncRNA from 1 species